rnacentral:rRNA from 1 species
GAGUGAACGCUGGCGGCGUGCCUAAUACAUGCAAGUCGAACGAUGAAGUCCUAGCUUGCUAGGAUGGAUUAGUGGCGCACGGGUGAGUAAUAUAUAGUUAAUCUGCCCUACACAGAGGAACAACAGUUGGAAACGACUGCUAAUACCUCAUACUCCUAUUUGACAUAAGUUAAAUAGGGAAAGUCUUUUCGGUGUAGGAUGAGACUAUAUCGUAUCAGCUAGUUGGUAAGGUAAUGGCUUACCAAGGCUAUGACGCGUAACUGGUCUGAGAGGAUGAUCAGUCACAUUGGAACUGAGACACGGUCCAAACUCCUACGGGAGGCAGCAGUAAGGAAUAUUGCGCAAUGGGGGAAACCCUGACGCAGCAACGCCGCGUGGAGGAUGACACUUUUCGGAGCGUAAACUCCUUUUAUCAGGAAAGAAUAAUGACGGUACCUGAUGAAUAAGCACCGGCUAACUCCGU